GGAAGGAAGCUCACUGUAGAGGCCACUAGCUUGGGUGUCUAUCACCCUACUUCCGCCUGUGGGAAGGUCUGAGGGAAGGGCCAAAUUGCCGCCCUAGCAGGGUGCCACCUUCUGAAGGUGGAGUGAGUUCCCACCAAUGUGGGUCUCCGAUGAAGCCCUAGAAUUGAGGCAGGAGAAGCGGAGAGGGGUCGUGGGUCGUGGGUCGUAGGCAUCCUCCCCGCGGAUGCCUCUGUGGCUCCGUUCGGGAUUUGAGAAUGACUUACGGCUGACAGCUUUGAGUACAAUGGGAAGAGGUGAAGCACCGCCAGCUUCAUAUAACCCAAUUCAGACCACUCUCCGGAAUUCC
rnacentral:RNase_P_RNA from 11 species